UGAAUACGAGACGCUAAGGCGUCGAAGUAGUGUAUGUCAUACUUCCAAGAAAAGCUUGCACUGUCAUAGAUAAAAAACGCCUGUACCAUAACCGACACAGGUGGGUAGGUAGAGUAUACUAAGGGGCGCGAGAUAACUCUCUCUAAGGAACUCGGCAAAAUAACUCCGUAACUUCGGGAGAAGGAGUGCCUUAUUUAUAAGGCUGCAAUAACAAGAUCCAAGCAACUGUUUAUCAAAAACACAGGUCUCCGCUAAGUCGUAAGACGAUGUAUGGGGGCUGACGCCUGCCCAGUGCCAGAAGGUUAAAGAAGUUGGUUAGCUUUUGCGAAGCUGAUAACUGAAGCCCUGGUGAACGGCGGCCGUAACGAUAACGGUCCUAAGGUAGCGAAAUUCCUUGUCGGGUAAGUUCCGACCCGCACGAAAGGCGUAAUGAUUUGGAUACUGUCUCGGAGAGGGGCUCGGUGAAAUAGACUUGUCUGUGAAGAUGCGGACUACCUGCACCAGGACAGAAAGACCCUAUGAAGCUUUACUGUAACUUGAAAUUGAAAUUGGACUUUAUUCGCGCAGCAUAGGUGGGAGGCGUUGAUUAUAAUCUCGUGGGAUUAUUGGAGCCAUCAGUGAGAUACCACUCUUGUAAUGUUAGAUUUCUAACUUUGAAUCAUUAUCUGGUCAAAGAACAGUUUCAGGCGGGCAGUUUGACUGGGGCGGUCGCCUCCUAAACGGUAACGGAGGCGUACAAAGGUUUCCUCUGAACGGUUAGAAAUCGUAUCUAGAGUGUAAAGGCAUAAGGAAGUUUGACUGUGAGACCUACAAGUCGAGCAGGGACGAAAGUCGGUCUUAGUGAUCUGACGGUACUGAGUGGAAAGGCCGUCACUCAACGGAUAAAAGUUACUCUAGGAUAACAGGCUGAUCUCCCCCAAGAGUUCACAUCGACGGGGAGGUUUGGCACCUCGAUGUCGGCUCAUCGCAUCCUGGGGCGGUAGUACGUCCCAAGGGUUGGGCUGUUCGCCCAUGAAAGCGGUACGCGAGCUGGGUUCAGAACGUCGUGAGACAGUUCGGUCCAUAUCCGGUGUAGGCGUUAGAAUAUUGAGAGGAGCCUUCUUUAGUACGAGAGGACCGAGAAGGACAUACCUCUGGUGUACCAGUUAUCGUGCCAACGGUAAACGCUGGGUAGCUAUGUAUGGAGUGGAUAACCGCUGAAAGCAUCUAAGUGGGAAGCCCACCUCAAGAUAAGUAUUCUCAUC
rnacentral:rRNA from 1 species